rnacentral:lncRNA from 1 species
UUCUAAAGCUUAUAUAGUUUAUAGUUUAAAGCCAAGCAGGACUGUUAAGCCUUUGGUCUUCAAAUCUAAACCCUGUGCCCAGUCCUUAUUUCUUGGGCUUGGGGCUUUUGAGCCUCAUAAGGAUUCUCAUCUUUCUUUCCACAGUAUGAAAAAGCUUUCUCACCCAAGUAUCUGCAGAACUGGUCUCCUGCCAAGCCAACGAAAGAGAGUAUCUCUUCUCAUGAAGGUUACACUCAGAUUAUUGCCAAUGACCGUGGUCACCUGCUGCCUUCAGUGCCCCGCUCCAAGGUGAGAUAUCCAUCUCCACUGCCAUUACAACAGGUUAAGAAUUGAAGCAUAGAACUGAGGAAAAGAGAGAUUUGCAAUCUCUCACAGACACUAUCUGGAAAACCAAAGUUCAAUAUAAUUUAUGCUGUGACAUGAGUUAUCCCAAUCUUCCAGUCAGUUUAUCGAGUAGGACAGAGUUGUGAAUUGAUGAAAUGUCCUCUAUGAAAAGAAUGCCCACAGGUGAUGAUAUCUAAUGCUGUGGGUACUCCUUUGCCAAACUUACCCUAAGGAUGUAGAAUUUAAGCAGGCA